rnacentral:rRNA from 1 species
GACAUAGGUUGCGAACGUUAUCCGGAAUUAUUGGGCGUAAAGGAUGCGUAGAUGGUUUGAUAAGUUAUCAGUGGCAAAUCGAGGCUCAACCUCGUGGAAGCUGGUAAUACUGUCAUACUUGAGUGCAGGAGAAGUUAACGGAACUCUAUAUGGAGCGGUAAAAUGUGACGAUAUAUGGAAGAACACCAAUAAGGCGAAAGCAGUUAACUAUUCUGUUACUGACAUUGAGGCAUGAAAGCGUGGGGAGCAAAACGG